UUCCUUCAAGGGUCAACAUUGACACCAGAAUGAGUGUUUGGUUGAUCAUGUUGUGUUUGGUUGACUUGACCAGGUGCUGUUAGUUAGGUGUUGCUAUCUACAGUACAGAGAACACCUCAAAGCUAAAUAUUUUCCAGUGACGUCACGUUGGUGUGAAACAUGUUAACCUCGAUGCUAGACCCUCCUCUUCCUGUCACAACAUGAGUUUCAGAGAGAAGGUGAAAACAAGCUGAAAACUUUCCGCUCCAUCGAACCAAUCGCUGCUCGUAUGUCCUUUCAUGGUAAAGUACAUCUAGUCAUGAACACGGAAAUACACAGCAAAGACCUUGUUACUCAAAGACCCAGCUACUCUCUGACAGUCACCAUCAGACCAUCAGACCACCAGAUGGACAGGCUGUUUGUUUCUCUCAUCACUCUCCUGUAACCCUUUUGUGUUCCGUCUGUGGAAAUGGUUCAAUCUUGAACCCAAAAGGGCUCUACCUGGAACCAAAAGGGCUCUACCUGGAACCAAAAGGGCUCUACCUGGAACCAAAAGGGCUCUACCUGGAACCAAAAGGGCUCUACCUGGAACCAAAAGGGCUCUACCUGGAACCAAAAGGGCUCUACCUGGAACCAAAAGGGCUCUACCUGGAACCAAAAAGGCUCUACCUGGAACCAAAAGGGUUCUACUUGCAAUCAAAAAGGGUUAUUCUAAGGGUUCUCCUAUGGGAACAGCCAAAGUACCCUUUUUACUAAGACUGUAGUGUGUGCCGUUUCCUCCAGUCAGGAUGGGAUCUCUGGAACAGAGGUGGAGCUGAGAGUCAGACCAGGAGACAACGUUGUUCUUCACUGUGAUGUCAAACACCAUGAUAAAACACAUUGGCAUAGAAACAGCUCCAUUGAGAAUGUGGGUCAUUUCAGUGUUUCAAAUCAGGAUAUAAU
rnacentral:lncRNA from 1 species